rnacentral:rRNA from 1 species
GCUGAAAGGUUACUGCGGAGAACAUUAGAGUAACAAACAAAGGGGGCUGAGGCUGUAGCUGGCCGCUCCGGUGGCAUGUGCACGCCUCUCCCCCGAAAACCCAAACCAUACACCUGUGCACCUUUGCGUGGGUCGGGAGGGGUAAAACCCGAUCGGCCCGCGUCCCUUUACAACAAACGCAUGUCUUCAGAAUGUAACACAUUGAUGUCUUAAAACAACAUCCAAUACAACUUUCAACAACGGAUCUCUUGGCUCUCGCAUCGAUGAAGAACGCAGCGAAAUGCGAUAAGUAAUGUGAAUUGCAGAAUUCAGUGAAUCAUCGAAUCUUUGAACGCACCUUGCGCCCUUUGGUAUUCCGAAGGGCACGCCUGUUUGAGUGUCGUGAAAUUCUCAACCCCUCCCCCUUUGUUGUGAAGGUGGGCAAGGGCUUGGACUUGGAGGUUCUUGCAGGGCUUUUGCUCCGCUCCUCUCAAAUGCAUUAGUGCGUCUCGUUGUGACGUUACCUUUUGGUGUGAUAGAUAUCUACGCCAUGGGGUCGUCGCUGUGAAAAAGAGGCCGUGCUCACAACCCGUCCCCCCAUGUGUGGGACAACACUUUGAAACUUGACCUCAAAUCAGGCGGGACUACCCGCUGAACUUAAGCAUAUCAAAAGCCCGAAGGAAA